rnacentral:rRNA from 1 species
ACGAACGCUGGCGGCGUGCUUAACACAUGCAAGUCGAACGAAGCUUGAUUACGGAUUCUUCGGAUGAAGUAUGAUAUGACUGAGUGGCGGACGGGUGAGUAACGCGUGAGUAACCUGCCCUUCAGAGGGGGAUAGCGUUUGGAAACGAACGGUAAUACCGCAUAAUGUAUUUUGACCGCAUGAUCGAAAUACCAAAGAUUUAUCGCUGAAGGAUGGACUCGCGUCUGAUUAGGUAGUUGGUGGGGUAACGGCCUACCAAGCCGACGAUCAGUAGCCGGACUGAGAGGUUGAUCGGCCACAUUGGGACUGAGACACGGCCCAGACUCCUACGGGAGGCAGCAGUGGGGAAUAUUGCACAAUGGGCGCAAGCCUGAUGCAGCAACGCCGCGUGAAGGAAGACGGUUUUCGGAUUGUAAACUUCUGUUCUUAGUGAAGAAUAAUGACGGUAGCUAAGGAGCAAGCCACGGCUAACUACGUGCCAGCAGCCGCGGUAAUACGUAGGUGGCAAGCGUUGUCCGGAAUUACUGGGUGUAAAGGGAGCGCAGGCGGGUGAUCAAGUCAGCUGUGAAAACUACGGGCUUAACCCGUAGACUGCAGUUGAAACUGUUCAUCUUGAGUGAAGUAGAGGUUGGCGGAAUUCCGAGUGUAGCGGUGAAAUGCGUAGAUAUUCGGAGGAACACCGGUGGCGAAGGCGGCCAACUGGGCUUUAACUGACGCUGAGGCUCGAAAGUGUGGGGAGCAAACAGGAUUAGAUACCCUGGUAGUCCACACUGUAAACGAUGAUUGCUAGGUGUGGGGGGUCUGACCCCUUCCGUGCCGGAGCUAACGCAAUAAGCAAUCCACCUGGGGAGUACGACCGCAAGGUUGAAACUCAAAGGAAUUGACGG